CAGGCUAUCAGGUCACACACCGUUGUGCAGAGCUACCCAGUGUACUGGCAGCAUCAGCUGCUGGCUGAGUGCUGAGCUGGCUGCACAUGCAGGAAAGUGCUCACAGACAUCUAAUUAAUGCCUCGUCUUUGCAGUUUGAGAUCUCCUGCCUCAGCAGAAGACCUCCACACUGGAGAUAUUGCCUCGAAGGUAUUCUCUUCCUGGAAGUCUUUUAAGUACAGUGGUGGAACAGUGCCAAAAAAGUAUUUUAGCAAACAAACAAUGCCGGUCACUGGUGUAAGUGAUUAUCUCCAAUUCAUGUGCAAAUGGUGACAGCAGAUAAAGGGCCAAUAGGGCAUCCCCGGCAGAAGAACAGAACACUUGUAGGAAGGAGGAAUAUUGCUGCCCAUACACUUGCCAAUAAUGACUGCACUACAGAAUGCAGCAAGGAACAAAACACAGAAUCUCCAUGAGAGGCCAAGAGAGGGUGUGCUGCACAGUAUGAUGUUCUUGCUACGAGUAAAAUCUGAUCAAAAAUAAAUAAAUAAAAUAUCAGCCUAAGGAGCUCCCUAAACCAUCCAGUAGCAGAUUGGAGCAGUGUACCCAACAGAUCCAUGAACUGGUUGGUUUUUGGCAGAAAGAGAUGGAGAUGACAAAACCUUUGGAAGUAAAGAAUGUGUCCAGCUGUGUAUUACUGAACUUCCCUACAAGACCCAAACCUGACUGGCUUGUUCUGCUGUGUACCAAUACCUGCAGCAGCUCUUGCUUGUGAGGCAUUGAGAAUCACAGUGCAUCAUCCAAAAAUUCAGAGUUGAAUAUAAACAGAGAUAUUACUGCUUUGAGAUGCAUACAGCUCAGCAAGGUGGAUUCUUAUAAGACCAGACAACAUGGGCUUGCCCAAGCUGAGCACAAGAGCACCUUCCUGGGAAUGAACACGCUUGCAGAAAGCCUGAUGCCAGAGGUAUCCCAAGCUGUACAAGAAAUAAUUGCUGCUCAGAUUAAGACAUAACAGAUGCAUGAUCUUCUCCAGUACUCUGUCCAGAACAGUGGAGUGGACACACAUGUUUGCCUGAACAGUGAAAUGGGUUAGAAGAGAGCAGAAAAUAGCUAUUCUAAAAAUACAUAUUUAUGUGUUCUUAAUAAAAAC
ensembl:lncRNA